CCGUUGGUGGUGUAAUGGUCAGCAUGGAUGUUCCGCUGGUCAUUGUUGGGGGUUCGAUUCCCCCCGAACGCA
rfam:Caenorhabditis brenneri strain PB2801 C_brenneri-6.0.1_Cont648.2, whole genome shotgun sequence.